rnacentral:rRNA from 1 species
GACGAACGCUGGCGGCGUGCUUAACACAUGCAAGUCGAACGGAAAGGCCCUGCUUUUGUGGGGUGCUCGAGUGGCGAACGGGUGAGUAACACGUGAGUAACCUGCCCUUGACUUUGGGAUAACUUCAGGAAACUGGGGCUAAUACCGGAUAGGAGCUCCUGCUGCAUGGUGGGGGUUGGAAAGUUUCGGCGGUUGGGGAUGGACUCGCGGCUUAUCAGCUUGUUGGUGGGGUAGUGGCUUACCAAGGCUUUGACGGGUAGCCGGCCUGAGAGGGUGACCGGCCACAUUGGGACUGAGAUACGGCCCAGACUCCUACGGGCGGCCGCAGUGGGGACUCUUGCACAAUGGGCGGAAGCCUGAUGCAGCAACGCCGCGUGCGGGAUGACGGCCUUCGGGUUGUAAACCGCUUUCGCCUGUGACGAAGCGUGAGUGACGGUAAUGGGUAAAGAAGCACCGGCUCCCUACGUG